GGGUUUGUAGCUUAAAGUAAAGUAUCAAUUUGUCGCAUUGAAGGAUGCCACCUCGAAAGGGUCAAACUCG
rnacentral:tRNA from 1 species